CACGUAGGCACCAAGCGUUGUCCGGAUUUAUUGGGCGUAAAGAGCUCGUAGGCGGUUGAGUAAGUCGGGUGUGAAAACUCUGGGCUUAACCCAGAGCCGCCACUCGAUACUGCUCUGACUUGAGUACGGUAGGGGAGCAGGGAAUUCCUAGUGUAGCGGUGAAAUGCGCAGAUAUUAGGAGGAACACCGGUGGCGAAGGCGCUGCUCUGGGCCGAAACUGACGCUGAGGAGCGAAAGCGUGGGUAGCAAACGGG
rnacentral:rRNA from 1 species